GUCGGCUACGGCGACAUGUGUCCCUCCACCAUCGGAGGCAAGUUCGUCGGGUCGCUGUGCGCCAUCGCCGGGGUGCUGACCAUCGCGCUGCCCGUCCCCGUGAUCGUGUCAAAC
rfam:Tetraodon nigroviridis, WGS project CAAE01000000 data, contig: CNS0BZ38, chromosome: 13